rnacentral:misc_RNA from 1 species
AAAAAAAAAAAGAAAAAAAAAUCAACACCAUGUGGUUUGGUUUUAACUCAAAAGUCAUUAAUCAAUUAAUGCUAUUAUUUUCUACUACAAGUCUACAGGUUCCCUCAUCUAUAUUUUUAGAAAAUAUUAUUAUUUUCUACAAGUUGCUACGCUUCUCUUUCUGAUAAAUUUGGACCUCAUUCGUCUAUUUGAUAACAAUUUAUAAAAUAUAAAAAUAUUCAAACUCAAAUAAUUUAAAAAAUAAGAAUUUAAUUAAGGGUCAACUCAAUUAUUUACUAAAAUUUGAUUUGAAAUUGAUCUAAUCAAUCUAAAUUAUGAACUAAAAAUUAAAUGAGUAAAAAUUAAUUUAAAAAACAAAAUAUUAAGCAGAAAUAAUCUUAAUUUACAAACUGAUC